UACGUAGGCAGCAAGCGUUGUUCGGAAUUACUGGGCGUAAAGAGUGUGUAGGCGGUGCUCUAAGUUCGGUGUGAAAUCUCCCGGCUUAACUGGGAGGGUGCGCCGGAAACUGGAGUGCUCGAGCGUGGGAGAGGAAAGCGGAAUUCCUGGUGUAGCGGUGAAAUGCGUAGAUAUCAGGAGGAACACCUGCGGUGUAGACGGCUUUCUGGGACGUGACUGACGCUGAGACGCGAAAGCGUGGGGAGCGAACAGG
rnacentral:rRNA from 1 species